rnacentral:rRNA from 1 species
ACGCUCGACACCUACGGGAAGCAGCAGUGGGGAAUAUUGCACAAUGGGGGAAACCCUGAUGCAGCGACGCCGCGUGAGCGAAGAAGUAUUUCGGUAUGUAAAGCUCUAUCAGCAGGGAAGAAACUGACGGUACCUGACUAAGAAGCACCGGCUAAAUGCGUGCCAGUANCGCGGUAAGUACUGAGCGGGCGUGGCGAAGGACG